UUGAACUGUCACCAACUUCAUUUGCUCAGACUCGGAGCAAUCCGAAGAGAAGGAUGAAGAGGAGGAGCAUUUAUGAUAUAGAUGAUGAGACUGGAGAAUUGCCAAAAGAGAUAGUAAUUGACGGAAAAGUCUAUAGAACUGUGGAAACUGGUAGCAGUUCUACGGAAGAAAAUGAAAGGAAAACACCUGAACCUCCUAAGAAGCCGC
rnacentral:sRNA from 1 species